AAAAAAAAAAUAAAUAGUAUCAGAGAAUCGUAAGUUUGAAAAUUAGUUGAAUGAAAAAAUAUUUAAUUUGUGUGGGUACGUACAUAUUAGAAUCUCUUUGAUUAACACGACGGUGGUGGGGAAUUAUUGGAUCAAGACGCGGCGCGAUUUACUAAUUUUAAAAUAGUUGGAUGUGUACCGCUAUAUAAUGAAUAAUAAUUCAGUUUUGGGCAAAAUAAAUUGUCAAAAAUAUUAAAUAGACUGUAGUAUGGUGGCGUGUCCGGGAAUUUCCAAUGCGAGGGGAUGUGGUAAAUAAUAAUCAUGAAUCGCGAAUAAAUCAUAGAAACUUUUUCUGUUAUACCUAACCCGGCAAUGAAUCGGACCCAGAAAAGGCAAAUUUUCAUUUCAUAAAUCAAAGCUUUUUCCUCGAAACUUGACUAAAAUAUAUAAUUUCAAAAUAAAAUUACCAAAUAAAUACUUAUAGUUAUUAUA